AAUGCAAGUCAUGUAUCCCAAGUCUGGAGAGAAUAUUUGAGACUCGGUUAUUCAUUCUCAGUCAUUGUGACGGACUGUGGCCACAGCAACACAAGAUUAUUGACCUCGUUCAAAGUUCGAACACUGGACCUGAAAACACACAACCAGAAUGAAUGUUCAAUGAUUAAUCAACAUCUGUGAAUUGAUGGCUAAAAAGCACCAUUCCAACUCAUAAAAUAUGCAAGAAGCAAGAAAAAAGGAAAGUGCAUAAGAAAGUUUCUUGAAAUGUCCCUGUGGAGUUGGACCCGCCUUCAUGUGAUACCAUAUAAUGUGCUUCCAGGGUUGGAGUAGGAAGAUAAAAACUUCACUCAUUAGAAGUCACACACACAUUUGGAAAAAUCUCAACUUCAAGCACCCAUUUGAAUUACAAUACACAAAAAUCUGUGUUUCUCAGAUUGUCAAAGAUUAAACAGUAUAAUAAUACCCAGUGCUGGUGAGGGUAUGGGAGAAACUAGUCUUUUUCACUGUCCGUGGAAAAAUAAAGUGGAGAAAAAGCUUUAGAGGA